rnacentral:rRNA from 1 species
AAACUGAAGAGUUUGAUCAUGGCUCAGAUUGAACGCUGGCGGCAGGCUUAACACAUGCAAGUCGAGCGGGGAAAGGUAGCUUGCUACCUGACCUAGCGGCGGACGGGUGAGUAAUGCUUAGGAAUCUGCCUAUUAGUGGGGGACAACGUUCCGAAAGGAACGCUAAUACCGCAUACGCCCUACGGGGGAAAGCAGGGGAUCUUCGGACCUUGCGCUAAUAGAUGAGCCUAAGUCGGAUUAGCUAGUUGGUGGGGUAAAGGCCUACCAAGGCGACGAUCUGUAGCGGGUCUGAGAGGAUGAUCCGCCACACUGGGACUGAGACACGGCCCAGACUCCUACGGGAGGCAGCAGUGGGGAAUAUUGGACAAUGGGCGCAAGCCUGAUCCAGCCAUGCCGCGUGUGUGAAGAAGGCCUUUUGGUUGUAAAGCACUUUAAGCGAGGAGGAGGCUCCU